GGGGAAUAUUGCGCAAUGGGGGAAACCCUGACGCAGCGACGCCGUGUGAGGGAAGAAGGCUUUCGGGUCGUAAACCUCUGUCGGGAAGGAAGAACCCCUCGGGUCCCAAUAGGGCUCGAGGCUGACGGUACUUCCAAAGGAAGCACCGGCUAACUCCGUGCCAGCAGCCGCGGUAAUACGGAGGGUGCAAGCGUUAAUCGGAAUCACUGGGCGUAAAGCGCGCGUAGGCGGCCUUUUAAGUCGGACGUGAAAGCCCUCGGCUCAACCGGGGAAUUGCGUUCGAUACUGGGAGGCUUGAGUCCUGGAGAGGGUGGCGGAAUUCCGGGUGUAGGAGUGAAAUCCGUAGAUAUCCGGAGGAACACCGGUGGCGAAGGCGGCCACCUGGACAGGUACUGACGCUGAGGCGCGAAAGCGUGGGGAGCAAAC
rnacentral:rRNA from 1 species